rnacentral:rRNA from 1 species
UUCCGGUUGAUCCUGGCAGAGGUUACUGCUAUCGAGGUUCGACUAAGCCAUGCGAGUCGAAUGUAGCAAUACAUGGCGAACUGCUCAGUAACACGUGGACAACCUGCCCUUAGGACGGGGAUAAACCCGGGAAACUGGGUAUAAUACCCGAUAGGUCUCGAUUGCUGGAAUGCAUCGAGAUUUAAAGCUCCGGCGCCUAAGGAUGGGUCUGCGGCCUAUCAGGUAGUAGUGGGUGUAGCGUACCUACUAGCCUACGACGGGUACGGGUUGUGAGAGCAAGAGCCCGGAGAUGGAUUCUGAGACACGAAUCCAGGCCCUACGGGGUGCAGCAGGCGCGAAAACUUUACAAUGCUGGCAACAGCGAUAAGGGAACCUCGAGUGCCAGGUUACAAAUCUGGCUGUCGAGAUGCCUAAAAAGCAUUUCAUAGCAAGGGCCGGGCAAGACCGGUGCCAGCCGCCGCGGUAACACCGGCGGCUCGAGUGGUAACCGUUAUUAUUGGGUCUAAAGGGUCUGUAGCCGGCCGGAUAAGUCUCUUGAGAAAUCUGGCAGCUUAACUGUCAGGCUUUCAGGAGAUACUGUCUGGCUCGAGGCCGGGAGAGGUGAGAGGUACUUCAGGGGUAGGGGUGAAAUCUUGUAAUCCUUGAAGGACCACCAGUGGCGAAGGCGUCUCACCAGAACGGACCUGACGGCAAGGGACGAAAGCUAGGGGCACGAACCGGAUUAGAUACCCGGGUAGUCCUAGCCGUAAACGAUACUCGCUAGGUGUCGGCCACGGUGCGACCGUUGUCGGUGCCGUAGGGAAGCCGUGAAGCGAGCCACCUGGGAAGUACGGCCGCAAGGCUGAAACUUAAAGGAAU